AUGCACGCUGGCGGCGUGCCUAAUACAUGCAAGUCGAGCGAACAGACGAGGAGCUUGCUCCUCUGUCGUUAGCGGCGGACGGGUGAGUAACACGUGGAUAACCUACCUAUAAGACUGGGAUAACUUCGGGAAACCGGAGCUAAUACCGGAUAAUAUAUUGAACCGCAUGGUUCAAUAGUGAAAGACGGUUUUGCUGUCACUUAUAGAUGGAUCCGCGCCGCAUUAGCUAGUUGGUAAGGUAACGGCUUACCAAGGCGACGAUGCGUAGCCGACCUGAGAGGGUGAUCGGCCACACUGGAACUGAGACACGGUCCAGACUCCUACGGGAGGCAGCAGUAGGGAAUCUUCCGCAAUGGGCGAAAGCCUGACGGAGCAACGCCGCGUGAGUGAUGAAGGUCUUCGGAUCGUAAAACUCUGUUAUUAGGGAAGAACAAAUGUGUAAGUAACUAUGCACGUCUUGACGGUACCUAAUCAGAAAGCCACGGCUAACUACGUG
rnacentral:rRNA from 1 species